rnacentral:rRNA from 1 species
AAUUCCAAGUGCCGGCACUAAGUGUCGGCUGUUCCAUUGUCUAAAAAACAUAGGAAGUAAGGGCUGGGUAAGACGGGUGCCAGCCGCCGCGGUAAUACCUGCAGCCCGAGUGGUGGCCGUUAUUAUUGGGCCUAAAACGUCCGUAGCCUGUUUGGUAGAUGCCUGUGUAAAUCGAACGGCUCAACCGUUCGAACUGCGGGUAGACCGCCAGACUUGGGACCGGGAGAGUCACGAAGUACUCCGGGGGUAGAGGUGAAAUUCUGUAAUCCUCGGGGGACUACCGGUGGCGAAGGCGUCGUGAUAGAACGGCUCCGACGGUGAGGGACGAAGCCCUGGGGCGCAAACCGGAUUAGAUACCCGGGUAGUCCAGGGUGUAAACGCUGCGGUCUUGGUGUCGGCAGUCCUACGGGGGCAGCCGGUGCCGGAGAGAAGUUGUUAAGACCGCUGCCUGGGGAGUACGGCCGCAAGGUUGAAACUUAAAGGAAUUGGCGGGGGAGCACCGCAACGGGAGGAGCGUGCGGUUUAAUUGGAUUCAACGCCGGAAAGCUCACCGGAGUCGACCAUUUGAUGUGGGCCAGUCUGAUGGGCUUGCCUGAAUUAUGGAGAGGUGGUGCAUGGCCGCCGUCAGUUCGUACCGUAAGGCGUUCUGUUAAGUCAGAUAACGAACGAGACCCUUAUCUUCAAUUGCCACGGCGAUCUCCGGAUCGUCAGCACAUUGGAGAGACCGCUGGCGCUAAGUCAGAGGAAGGAUAGGGCAACGGUAGGUCAGUAUGCCCCGAAUGCUCCGGGCUACACGCGCGCUACAAAGGAUGGGACAAUGGGUAUCGACACCGAGAGGUGAAGGCAAUCCCGAAACCCAUUCGUAGUUCGGAUCGAGGGCUGCAACUCGCCCUCGUGAAGCUGGAUUCCGUAGUAU